UGUUGAUUUAAAGCAGAGUCUGUCGUGCCCAGCGGAAGGAUGAGGAUUACGUGCUACAUACUCUAUAUUGCUUUAUUUACAGUUCAAAGCUGGUAUAUUACAGAAAGACAUCUUGCCUCUGCAGGAGCAGAAAAUGCAUCCUCUCUCCUCGACAGCUCGGAGAGAAUCACACAGUGAAAAACAGGAAACCAGUGUACGUCACAUCCAGUCUCCCUUUCCCGUGAGAAACUCCAACAGUACAGACUGUGGAAUGUAAACACCUGUCUCGUGACAAGCAGAGCUGCACAGUGAAGGAAAGCAGAAACCAACAUCCUCCCCUUUCUGUGAACAUCACUGGGCAGCGUGUUUGCACAAUAUCAGUACAAACCCAACUUCUGCACAUAGGUACAGUGUUGAUCCCUUGAUACAAUCUUGGACAAUACAUCAGCAGGAAUUUCAUUACCUGGCAUAUAGGACACCGUUACGAGUCCCUUCUGAAUACAUUCCCUAGCAUGCUGCAACUUUAAUUGCAAGUGCUUUGUGCUUUGCUUACAACCUUCAGACUUCAGCAAAGCCAAACAUGCUUUGUUGUCCUGGUAAACCUGGAUUGGACAUUUGACAGGAAUUUUCAUAUCUUUGCACAAUUGUACUAACCAUUCACAAUCCUUAAGUGAAUAAGACAGUGCAUUCAGUUCGGCUUCACAAGUACUUAAGCUAACUGUUGUUUGCUUCUUGCAUGACCAAUCAAACAGACUCUGAUUGUACAUGUAGCAAACUCCAGACGUACUUUUCCUGUCUGUAGUGUCACUUCCAAAACUUGCAUCUGCAAAUAUCUCAAGACCACCAGACUUCUGAUUGUUAAAUCUCAGUCUGUAAUGCAUAGUGCCUUUCAAAUACCGCGCUAUGCGUUUCAGAGCUUUCCAAUCCUUGACACUAGGAUUGUUGACUUGUCUGCUUAGCAAAUUACAGCUAACAGCAAUGUCUGGUCUUGAACAUCUGGCAAUGAAGUUUAGCUUGCCUAGCACACUCCUGUACAGUGUAGUGUCAGAAAAUGCUUCUUCAGUGUCAUCUACCUGAUAACCUGUUGUCAUCGGUGUGUCUACAGGGUUAGCAUCCAUCAGAUUUAGUUUGCUUAACACAUCAGCAAUUUUCCGUGACUGGUGUACUAGAAUGUUACCAUCUUGAUCUCUCUCUAUUUCCAGAGAUAGGUAGUUGUUUACCUCACCAAGAUCUUUCAUGUCAAAGUGCUCUUUCAGUUGAGCUAGGGCGUUAUUGUACAUUGCGACAUCUUUCCAAAAGAAUAAUAAAUCAUCAACAUAAAACAAACAGUACAGUUUCUUUUGCCCCUCCUCUUGACAAAUACACAUGGAUCAGCUUUCCCUUGCUGAAAACCUAGAGAAAACAAUACUUCAGUGAGUUUUGUGUGCCAACACCGUGCACUUUGUUUGAGACCAUAAAGGGAUUUCUUCAGAGCACAAACAAAUCCCUGUUUUACCUGUACGCCAUCAGGUGGAAGCAUAUAAAGUGAUUCAUCUAGAGAUCCGUACAGAAAAGCUGUAUUAAUAUCAUGGUGACUAAUGUGUAGAUUUUCCUCUGCAGCUAGCUUGAGCAUAAGCCUAAUGCUUUCAUAUCUCACUGUGGGUGAAUAGGUCUCGUGAUAGUCUUCACCUGGUACCUGUGCAAAACCUCUGGCUACCAAUCUGGCUUUGUGUCUGACUAUCUUGCCAUUUUGAUCUGUCUUCGCUUUGAAGACCCAUUUGCUUCCAAGCAGUUUCAUUCCUGGAACUACUGGAACUAGCUCCCAUGUUUUGUUCCUUUCUAAGGAAUCAAGCUCAGCCUUCAUGGCAUUUAACCAUGGCUCAGCUUCCUUUGAAUCCAAACCCUGGAUUUCUUGGAAACUUGAAGGUUCAAAUACCUUCUUGGAGCUUUUAACAGCUGUUACUGCUAUCUUAGCAAACUCAUCAGCAAAUCUCUUUGGAGGUUUGCCUUUUGUGGCUCUCUGUGACCUACGAAUUAGCCUUAAGUCUUCAACACUCUCCUCUUCCUUCUUAGGAGAAAAACGACCUAUUGUGAACAAUGGUUCCUCCAAUUCUUGAUCAGAGCUUUCAGAGGGUCGCAUAGAGGCUUUCGCACUCUCGAAAUCCUCUGAAUCACCCGAUUCAGUUUCAGAUUCAGACUCAGAACCUUCAUCAGUGGGUGUGGGCUGUUGUGGUUGCUUUUGACUAUCCUCAGUCUCAUCACCGUCAUCAGGAUAACAUUGGAAAAUUCCCACAUUCUCCCCCACUUUGCAUUGUACUCAACACUUCUCGUGAGCUUAAUUGUCUUAGAGUCAGUCAUCAUUAUUCUGUAAGACCCUUUCUGAUAACCUAGAAAGAUACCAUGCAAUCCACGCUUGUCUAACUUGGAGUUUUGUGGUGAGCGAACCCACAUGUCAGAACCAAAAUCUUCAUGUGUUUGAUGUAUGGCUUCUUGCCAAACAUCUUCUCAUAGGGGGUACAACCAAUCGCUGAAGAUAACCUGCGAUUGUAACUGUAAACAAAACACGAGAGAGAUUCGGCCCAAUAACUCUCUGGAAGAUUGGCAUCAUGCAGCAAGGUUUUUAACCCUUGAAGCAAUGUCUGAUUUGCCCGUUCCGCAAGUCCAUUCUGCCAUGGCGAGCGAGGACUAGACAAAUCGUGUUGAAUUCCUUUCUCAGUCAGAAAAGCUUCAAACUGCUGAGAAGUGAAUUCCCCCGCGAUCACUGAAAAGAGUCUUUAUCUUCUUACCAUGCACAUUUUCCAACCAAGCACAGAAUUCCUUGAACCUAGGAAAAGCCUCCGAUUUCUGCUUGAGAUUGUACACAAAAAUAUAUCUAGAAAAUGCAUCAAUGAGAACCAUGAAGUAUCUAUUUCCACCCAAAGAGGGCGCUAGUGGUCCAACCAAAUCAGCAUGAACAACCUGGUAUGGUUCUGUAGCUUUCCUACUAGACACCUUACCUUUCGCAGCCAUUUUCACUUUGUUUGCUGCGCAUGCUUUGCACUUCAUGUGGUACCUGCAGGGUUUAAUAGUCAUACCUUCAACCAAGGCAGGCAUUUUAGAUACUGCCUCAAAAUGCAAAUGACCAAAUUUUCGAUGAAAAUCGUGAAUACAUUCUGCAUGCAAACUUUUGUUAGAACCUGCAAUGCAACAAGUGUCAUCCUGCACCACAUCAUCAUAAUACAAAACAAACAAAUGAUCAACAUAUUCUGCAUGCAAUACAUAAUCAUUUUUCUUUGUGAUGAUGCACUUCUUGUUCUUGAAGGAAACGUCAAUGUUCCGCUCAUUCAGCUGUCCAACGCUGAGCAGAUUAUGUUUGGCGUCUGGCACGUAAAGCACAUUCUGUAUCGAUAAGUCCAAACUGUGAAGAACAACAGUUCCGUAGCCUUUACUGGGAAUAGUGUGGUCAUCCGCCUGGUGAAUCGCACCUUCCUGCGGUGUAAAAGACACAAACAGUUUCUUAUCGUUGCACAUGUGGUGGGUGGCCGCUGAAUCAACAACGAAGAAAGAUCUAGACGUCUUCUGGACCUCUGCAACCUUUGGAGUGAAGCGUGAAACCAUAGCCUUGUGCUGCGUUGUCCUAGACACCGGACCUUUGCCUUUGCCUCGGCCUUUUCCGCGCGAUGAGCUCGCUGCGCUGCUCUGUCUUGGCCCUGGGAUGUCUGCAUUCCCUCUUCAUAUGGCCUAGACGUCCACACGAGUAGCAUUUCACUGCCUUCAAAGCUUUGGCGCCAUCUGGUGGUUCCACUGCACUAUGGGAUGACGUCUGUGAAGACUCCCCUUGCCCAUGCAGCUAGCACCCCGGCGAUCUGCUUCAUUUAAAAUCACGGCAGUAACAAAGUCCACUGUCAGCUGAGCAGUUGGUUGCACAGCAAUCUGGGUUGCAACAGACUCCCAACCUGAACCCAAAGAUUGUAGUAUCAUGAAAGAAUACACAGCCUCUGGAAAGUUGAGUCCUCUCUGUUGCAGCUCAUGUCUCAGAUUUUGCAUCUCCAUCAGAUGUAAACGCACAUCUCCACCUUCAGCAAGAGCCAUAUUAUGCAGCUUGUUAAAGUAAAACAUAGUGGAUCCAGCUUCUGUCCUUAAGUGAGCCUCUCUCAGAGCGUCCCAAAUUUCUCUGGCUGAGGUCUUAUCACGCAAUAGACAGAGCUCUUCUGGGGAUACUAUCAAUGUAAGAGUUCCCUUGCUUUGGAAUCCUUAGCUUCCCAUGCAUCUGUAACUGGAACUGGGGGGGUUUCUGUAAUCACCUCAAACACACCCUCUUUCCGCAGAAUUGCCUCUGCAUACAGGACCCAGUCGCUGUAAUUUUUCUUGUUGAGCUUAGGAAUCCCACAAGCAUCCUGAAGGGCCAUCAUGACUCUGGCAUUAGCCUUCAGCGUCAUAUGCUGCUUUAAAUCUUGCUGCGUCACUGCUGCAGCUGCCUCAUUACAAAGGCACACUUAAAAGUUACUUUCGAUUUCCCCAGCAUAGUGACUUGUGCCUGGGAGCCUUUUGCCUAUUCCCGGCAACCGGCUUUAAAAGUUCAAAGUCCAGCCAUAAAGCCAUUAACUUGAAGCUGGCAGGCUGCCCGGAGCAGUAGCACAUACCUCAUCAAUCACCUCUACGCGCAGAGCAGAUUCCUUUCCGAUCCGUCCCUCUGCAUUCCGAUCCUUUGCCGGCACUCCGAUUCGACCUCUGGAGCCCAUAACCACGUGUUGAUUUAAAGCAGAGUCUGUCGUGCCCAGCGGAAGGAUGAGGAUUACGUGCUACAUACUCUAUAUUGCUUUAUUUACAGUUCAAAGCUGGUAUAUUACAGAAAGACAUCUUGCCUCUGCAGGAGCAGAAAAUGCAUCCUCUCUCCUCGACAGCUCGGAGAGAAUCACACAGUGAAAAACAGGAAACCAGUGUACGUCACAUCCAGUCUCCCUUUCCCGUGAGAAACUCCAACAGUACAGACUGUGGAAUGUAAACACCUGUCUCGUGACAAGCAGAGCUGCACAGUGAAGGAAAGCAGAAACCAACA